rnacentral:rRNA from 1 species
AUGAACGCUAGCGGCAGGCUUAACACAUGCAAGUCGAGGGGCAGCGGGGUGUAGCAAUACACUGCCGGCGACCGGCGCACGGGUGCGUAACGCGUAUGCAACCUACCCAUAACAGGGGCAUAACACUGAGAAAUUGGUACUAAUUCCCCAUAACAUUCGAAGAGGCAUCUCUUUGGGUUGAAAACUCCGGUGGUUAUGGAUGGGCAUGCGUUGUAUUAGCUAGUUGGUGAGGUAACGGCUCACCAAGGCGACGAUACAUAGGGGGACUGAGAGGUUAACCCCCCACAUUGGUACUGAGACACGGACCAAACUCCUACGGGAGGCAGCAGUGAGGAAUAUUGGUCAAUGGACGCAAGUCUGAACCAGCCAUGCCGCGUGCAGGAUGACGGCUCUAUGAGUUGUAAACUGCUUUUGUACGAGGGUAAACUCACCUACGUGUAGGUGACUGAAAGUAUCGUACGAAUAAGGAUCGGCUAACUCCGUGCCAGCAGCCGCGGUAAUACGGAGGAUUCAAGCGUUAUCCGGAUUUAUUGGGUUUAAAGGGUGCGUAGGCGGUUAGAUAAGUUAGAGGUGAAAUCCCGGGGCUUAACUCCGAAAUUGCCUCUAAUACUGUUUGACUAGAGAGUAGUUGCGGUAGGCGGAAUGUAUGGUGUAGCGGUGAAAUGCUUAGAGAUCAUACAGAACACCGAUUGCGAAGGCAGCUUACCAAACUAUAUCUGACGUUGAGGCACGAAAGCGUGGGGAGCAAACAGGAUUAGAUACCCUGGUAGUCCACGCAGUAAACGAUGAUAACUCGCUGUCGGCGAUACACAGUCGGUGGCUAAGCGAAAGCGAUAAGUUAUCCACCUGGGGAGUACGUUCGCAAGAAUGAAACUCAAAGGAAUUGACGGGGGCCCGCACAAGCGGAGGAACAUGUGGUUUAAUUCGAUGAUACGCGAGGAACCUUACCCGGGCUUAAAUUGCAGAUGAAUUACGGUGAAAGCCGUAAGCCGCAAGGCAUCUGUGAAGGUGCUGCAUGGUUGUCGUCAGCUCGUGCCGUGAGGUGUCGGGUUAAGUCCCAUAACGAGCGCAACCCCUACCGUUAGUUGCCAUCAGGUGAAGCUGGGCACUCUGGCGGGACUGCCGGUGUAAGCCGAGAGGAAGGUGGGGAUGACGUCAAAUCAGCACGGCCCUUACGUCCGGGGCUACACACGUGUUACAAUGGUAGGUACAGAGGGUCGCUACCCCGUGAGGGGAUGCCAAUCUCGAAAGCCUAUCUCAGUUCGGAUUGGAGGCUGAAACCCGCCUCCAUGAAGUUGGAUUCGCUAGUAAUCGCGCAUCAGCCAUGGCGCGGUGAAUACGUUCCCGGGCCUUGUACACACCGCCCGUCAAGCCAUGGGAGCUGGGGGUGCCUGAAGUUCGUGACCGCAAGGAGCGACCUAGGGCAAAACCGGUGACUGGGGCU